UACGAAGGGUGCAAGCGUUAAUCGGAAUUACUGGGCGUAAAGGGUGCGUAGGCGGUUCGUUAAGUCUGUCGUGAAAUCCCCGGGCUCAACCUGGGAAUGGCGAUGGAUACUGGCGAGCUAGAGUGUGUCAGAGGAUGGUGGAAUUCCCGGUGUAGCGGUGAAAUGCGUAGAGAUCGGGAGGAACAUCAGUGGCGAAGGCGGCCAUCUGGGACAACACUGACGCUGAAGCACGAAAGCGUGGGGAGCAAACAGA
rnacentral:rRNA from 1 species